rnacentral:rRNA from 1 species
AUUGAACGCUGGCGGCAUGCCUUACACAUGCAAGUCGAACGGCAGCACGGGAGCAAUCCUGGUGGCGAGUGGCGAACGGGUGAGUAAUAUAUCGGAACGUGCCCAGUCGUGGGGGAUAACGUAGCGAAAGCUACGCUAAUACCGCAUACGAUCUAUGGAUGAAAGCGGGGGAUCGCAAGACCUAGCGCGAUUGGAGCGGCCGAUAUCAGAUUAGGUAGUUGGUGAGGUAAAGGCUCACCAAGCCGACGAUCUGUAGCUGGUCUGAGAAGACGACCAGCCACACUGGGACUGAGACACGGCCCAGACUCCUACGGGAGGCAGCAGUGGGGAAUUUUGGACAAUGGGCGCAAGCCUGAUCCAGCAAUGCCGCGUGCAGGAUGAAGGCCUUCGGGUUGUAAAGGACUUUUGUCCGGGAGCAAAUACCCAGUGCUAAUAACGCUGGGGGCUGAGAGUACCGGAAGAAUAAGCACCAGCUAACUACGUGCCAGCCGCCGCAGUAAAAC